GUCCUGGCCCUAAACGGUGCACGUUUGCUGUAAGAGGAAUCGACCCCUUUUGUGGCGAAGCUAACGCGUUAAACGUGCCGCCUGGGAAGUACGGCCGCAAGGUUAAAACUCAAAGAAAUUGACGGGGGCCUGCACAAGCGGUGGAGUAUGUGGCUUAAUUCGAUGCAACGCGAAGAACCUUACCUGGCCUUGACAUGCAUGUAGUAGAACCCUGAAAGGGGGACGAGGUAGCAAUACCAGCAUGCACAGGUGCUGCAUGGCUGUCGU
rnacentral:rRNA from 1 species